UACGUAGGGCGCAAGCGUUGUCCGGAAUUAUUGGGCGUAAAGAGCUCGUAGGCGGCCAGUUGCGUCCGCUGUGAAAUCCCGGGGCUUAACCCCGGGCGUGCAGUGGAUACGGGCUGGCUAGAGGCAGGCAGGGGAGAACGGAAUUCCCGGUGUAGCGGUGAAAUGCGUAGAUAUCUGGAGGAACACCGGUGGCGAAGGCGGCAUCCUGGACCAACACUGACGCUGAUGAGCGAAAGCCAGGGGAGCAAACGGG
rnacentral:rRNA from 1 species